GUAUUUGAUUUAAAGGCACUAAAGGCCAAUUAAUGACAUUCUGUUACAUUCUUUUGGGGUAUGUAAAAACAUAGACCGGAAAUGCAAGGAAAGCUGGCUUUCGCACAGCAGUCCUCAAACCGAGUUUCCUCGAGAGGUAUAUCCAGGUCUACAAAGGGUGCACAGGUGGUAAGAAAUUGGUGGCAGGCGUGCACAUGCUCCGAAGAGCCAGCAACAACCCGACCAAGUUUAUUCAAUAAUGAUCCUUCCGCAGGUUCACCUACGGAAA
rnacentral:misc_RNA from 1 species